rnacentral:rRNA from 1 species
UUAGUGGCGGACGGGUGAGUAACGCGUGAGUAACCUGCCUUACACAAGGGGAUAGCCGUUGGAAACGACGAAUAAUACCCUAUGACAUAAACUCUUCGCAUGAGGAGCUUAUCAAAGAUUUAUCGGUGUAAGAUGGACUCGCGUCUGAUUAGCUAGUUGGUGAGGUAACGGCCCACCAAGGCGACGAUCAGUAGCCGGCUUGAGAGAGUUAACGGCCACAAGGGGACUGAGACACGGCCCUUACUCCUACGGGAGGCAGCAGCC